UUGAAUUUGAUUUAAUAUCAAGUAUAUGUAAUUAAAAUACUUUGUUAAAGCCUUAAACCAAAUGACUUUAAUUGAAAAAAAUUCAAGGUUUUCUUUAUGCUUAGUUUAAAAUUUUAAACUGUAAUAUCACGUGUCUGAAAUUAAAAUUUGAAUUUGAUUUAAUAUCAAGUAUAUGUAAUUAAAAUACUUUGUUAAAGCCCUAAACCAAAUGACUUUGAUUGCAAAAAAUUCAAGGUUUUCUUUAUGCUUAGUUAAACCGAAACCUGGGACCCAACUGACAGCCAGACGGAUCCCGGAUCUGGUGAUCACGGAUCUACACCUUACAUCUGAUAAAUAACGUUAAACUGAAACCUGGAAGAUAAAUUACUGAGAGAAUGACCUCGGAUCCGGCGAACCUCAGAGGAUGUGGCGGACCUCAUAGCUGCACCCCUCAACGAAAAAUAACGUCGUAGAGAACGCCUCCCGAACUGGCGGAAAACGGAGAAAACCCUCAUCGCUGAGAAACCAAGAUGUCUCAAGAUAAUGGGACAACUAUUCUACGUCGUCCCAUCUAAUUUGUUGCCCAAUACAAACGAGCAACAUUUUCACUCUAGAAUCCUAAAGAUAUGAGGAAUAUGAAGAGAUUAAACCAUAAUCUAGUGAGUCUAGUUCCCUGAUAUAUAUUUUUCCCUCUACCGUGUUCAUGCAGCCUAAACGACAAGAGAAACACGAAAGAAAUGAAACUUAAUGUUUCUGAAACAAGUUAUUUUGUAUUAGCAAGGAACCAUCAAUGUUCCGCGCUAGUAUGUUUCUUAAUCACAUAGUUUCUUACCUUUACGUUGGUUAUAAAGCUCCUAAAAUAAUAUGCAGCAAGGAACCAUCAAUUUUCCGCGCUAGAAUGGUUCUUAAUUACAUAGCUUCUUACCUUACGUCGGUUAUAUAACUAUAAGACUACAUAGUUAAAAUAAUUUGCAGCCACACCAACGAAGAACCAUCAAUGUACUUCGUCGGUAGAGCGCUCAAUCUGUAUGUUUUUACAUAGUGUAUGUAGCCUAGAUAUCAACCUUACCUUAAAAAUGUAAAAUGUAGACGCAAACUGAUUCUACAUAACUUGCUCAAAUUAUAUGUAAACGAGACAAUUGUAGAAUAUUCUUAUUAAAUCCACAUAAACCUUUCUCAUCAAUAACAACCUAUUUUAUGCAUGUAAUGUUCCACCACUUCAUUGGUACAUUUCUCAAUUCGUAUGUUUUAAAUAAUCUAAGUAGCAUUGAUACCAAAUUUUAAUUUAAAAAUUAUCCGUAAAUUAACUCCUAUAUAAUUCUCACAAAAUAUAUGUAAACGAGUUUGAUGUA